AUGCUGAAGAAAAAAGAGGAGGAAAGCAUGCCUUUACAAAGGAGUGCCAGUGUCCGGGUUACCUCCAAGACUCCCAACAGCUCUGACCAAACUGAGGAGGACAAAGCAUCACCUUUCCAAAGGAACUCCAGGCAGAGGGUGUCAUCACGUUCUAUUCAGGAGAAGAUGGAGAGACUCGCCCAAGCAGCACAGAGGUCUGAUUCUCUGCGUUCUCCUGACGUGGCCCAAAGGACCCUGUUCCUGCUGGAUGAAGUGUCCAGGAAGAGAGGUCUCUUUGAAAAGGAUCAGGCAGCAGUUCAUGGCAGCCCUGGGGUCCUCAGACAGGAACAUCGAAGCUUCACAUCUGGAAUCUCUGACCGUAUAAACCGCUGGGUCAGCAAGACCAACAGACCUGGAAGCUCGUCCCACAACCCUACAGAUCUGCGUCAUGUUGAUAUCUCCAGUAAAAGGAGUGUCUUUGAGAGUCGAGGAGAGGACAGCUCCCCCAAUACAGCCCCCCUCCACAAGAUAUACAAGUGAAAAACGACUCCAUGUUUUAUAAUUCUACUGUUUAAAAAUGCUUACAGUCUGAGUAAGGUUGAAACGGAAGAAGUGAGAAGGGAGAUAGGAGAAGUGAGGUGCAGUGAUAUUUCUAUCAGUAAUUUGUAAUGAUUUUAACCGAUCUGGUGAUUGUUUUAGUGCUUUCAAAGGUAACAGACACUGUAGUGAUUGUUAUUGCACUACAAUUCUGGGAUUAGAGGACAGAAGUUUAGAGGACAGGUAAUUCUGCAAUUAGAGGACAAGGACAUUCUGGGAUUAAUUAUGGGAUUAGAAAACAAGUAGUUCUGGGAUUAAAGGAAAGUUAUUUUUAAGAUUAAAGGAUGGAUCAAUCAGGGAUUAGAAGAUAUUUUGCAACCAUAAUUGACAUUGUGUGUAUCAUUAUGUUGUGCCAUAAAAUGACACCCUUAACCAUUAUUCAAGUCUAAAUUCUACCUAACUCCUAAACAUCAUUUUUAAUACUGUGUAAUGAUGUGUGAACAAUAAAUAAAAGGUUUUACAUCCACAAUUCUAAUGGUCUCUUUACUGAACCAGAAAAGUUCAUCUGAACACAAUCCAAACUCAUCAAUGAACCAAACAAUGAUCACAGAGAUCAUAUAUAAUUACACAUUUACAAACACUAAGCCAAAAAACUGAGUUCACAAUGUACAGUUCCGUGUAGAGCAAUUUGGACUGAGAAUAGGGGUGGUUGAAUGUGUGAAUGAAGAGUGUGUUGGCUAAAUAUUGUAAUGUUGAGUGUGUGUAAGCAUGUAUGAAUGUUGAGUGUGAGACAAGGUGAUGCUCCCAUGAUAAACCCUGCAUAGCUUGUCUUACUUGGCAACUGUCUGUAAACAUCUGUGAUGUGUUUGGAUCCCUGCCCACAUUCAACUGAAGCCUCACAGAUUAACCAUUUCUUUGGAAGAGAAACUGUGUGUGUGUGUGUGUGAGGGGGGGGGGGGGGGGGGGUGUAGGUGUGAGAGAGAGAGAGAGACAGGUCUGCUUCCAGAUGUUUCCUUUUAAGGGAUGAUGAUAACAGACGACCCUCACCAUGUCAGGUUUAUCUUUAAUAGCCCACCUUCUGAAUGUCAAAGCGUUAUCUGAACCUAUUUAUACACACUGUAGUCACAUAUUCUACUCCCCCCUUUAUCUCAGUCCCUCUUGCCUCUCUCUCUCUCUCUCUCAGUCCCCCCCCUUUCUCUCUCUCUCUCAGUCCCCCCCCCCUCUCUCACCCUCUAACUAUCACCUACUGUCACAUUCCUGUUGGUCAGUGGGGAAAAGUUUUUACCAGUCACUCCUCCAGUGUCUCCAGGUGAGUUUGACCUCUGCUACACUCUUGAUCAAACAGAUAUAUAGGUCUUACAUUGUUGUAUUUUUAUAAUUUGAUAUUGACUGUUAUGGCUCCUAUAAAUGUGUAUGAAAAUACCAUAACCUAAUUUGACGGGCCUGUAGUUACUGGAAUGUUAGGAGGUACAAACCUGUAUUCAUGUCUAAAAAGGUUUCUAACAUUUCCACUUAAACUGUCAGACUUGAUUUGUCGUAAGGAAAGACAUUUCAUGUUGCUACAUGAUUGUUUUUUUCUGCUGCAUGAAACGGGCUGGAAUUCCCCAUAUGCGAGUAAUAUAUAUGAAUAUGGCUGUAUUGAAUAUGAACUUGUGUUUAUACAUUUGUGUAUAGUGCAAUGUUUCCUUUUUUGGACGUUUACUUGGUCACCUAUGACUUAUAGUCAUUAAAAAUAUAUCUCCCUACAUGGCUGUAUUUACAUGGAGGACCAGAAUGUGAAUGCCCUUGAGUGGAUUAAUCAGAACCCUGAUCAAAAUCCAGUAGACAAUAUGUGGAAUGACUUGAAGAGUGCAGUCCUUAAGCAAUCACCAAGCAAUAUGAUUGA
ensembl:lncRNA